rnacentral:lncRNA from 1 species
CUAGUAUGGCUUAUAUUUUUGUGUUGGACACAGACAAUAAAUAACACUUGAGCCUCGGAUCUGCCAUGAAAACACUCACUGCUUCUUCAGUAGUUUCCUGACUAUAAACCCAAUGUCACGUUCAACAGCCAAUGACAAGACAAGACCACCCACAACAAAGCUAUGGAACGCAGCCAGUCUACCAACGUUGCUGUAAUACUGUCAACAAUUCAGUGCUGCUGGAACGCACAUUGGGAGAAAUAAUGGCAUGUUUGAAUGUCCGUGGGUACAACAGAAGAGGGAGAAAAGCUGCAAGACAGAGAAAGAAGAACUGGAGAAUAUCACAUGGAGCUCUUUGAUAAUUUUGAAAUGAGGAAUGGAGGACUGAAUCCUGAGAUUAAAAUUUGGAGUCAAGUAUAUGGAUUAGAGCAGAAAAAAAUGUGCAGUAAUUUUCAAAAGACAUAAUGAUUCC